GGGUUGUGAGGUUAAGCGACUAAGCGUACACGGUGGAUGCCCUGGCAGUCAGAGGCGAUGAAGGACGUGCUAAUCUGCGAUAAGCGCCGGUAAGGUGAUAUGAACCGUUAUAACCGGCGAUUUCCGAAUGGGGAAACCCAGUGUGACUCGUCACACUAUCAUUAACUGAAUCCAUAGGUUAAUGAGGCGAACCGGGGGAACUGAAACAUCUAAGUACC
rnacentral:rRNA from 1 species